CCGGGGAGGGAGUGACACUUCCAUAAUGGACUACAGCCACAGAGCCGCCCUGGGUGCCGAUGACCCGUCCCGCCAGGCCGCAGGCCAUGGGGGGCCUGGAGCUCGCGGAGGAGCUGACGCGUCCGCUGUUCCUCCAGCCGCAGAACGCCGGGCCAGGCGAAGCCCCUUGUCCUAUGCCAACCUGGACGGCCGGUGAUCCUCCUGAGUAAUUCUGUCCGUGCUCCCGGUGGACCCGGAGAUGUUAUCCUCUGUAAGAACUUAGAGCUCAACCUGUUAAGUCUCAUCAAUUGCCCCGAAUUUGUAGGUUAGUUUUGGGAGAACUGACUUUUUUUUUUAAUCAAAAUUGAGAAUCCUGUGUAUUGCAAAUUUCUCACUUUAUUCAGUUUUUCAAAUUUGCUUUUCAGUGAAGUUUUAUAAAUUUUACUAUCUAAGCCUUUUAAGCUGAGCACCAAAGAAUUGAUGCUUUUGAACUAUGGUGUUGGAGAAGACUCUUGAGAGUCCCUUG